rnacentral:piRNA from 1 species
UGCCGUCAAUAUUGCCAAUCU